rnacentral:rRNA from 1 species
UACGUAGGGUGCAAGCGUUAAUCGGAAUUACUGGGCGUAAAGCGUGCGCAGGCGGUUUUGUAAGUCAGAUGUGAAAUCCCCGGGCUCAACCUGGGACUUGCAGUUGAAACUGGGAAGCUAGAGUAGGGUAGAGGGGGUGUGGAAUUCCAGGUGUAGCGGUGAAAUGCGUAGAUAUCUGGAGGAACACCGGUGGCGAAGGCGGCAUCCUGGACCGAGAUUGACGCUGAGGCGCGAAAGCCAGGGGAGCAAACGGG